rnacentral:lncRNA from 1 species
AAAAACAGGCACAUUCCUCCCAAAAAAAUUAAGAUCUCGCCGGAAAAUUCACACAAAAAAUAUCAAUAGAACCAAAAUAGAGAGGGGAAAAAAUAUUAGAGCACUAUAAAUAAUCCAAAUCCAUAAAAUAAGUACGUUAUUUAGCGGAUCGUGUAAUAACAAAUAAGGGUUGGCGUCGCUUUAAUGACGUAUGCCGGAGCAACGCCGGAACCCAGAUUCUGGCCAGAUAUGCAAAUCAAUAGGUGAAAAACAAAAAAAAUAUGAACCAAUGAAAAUGAGAGGAGAUUGCUGUGACAGUGGUG